UGCCAGCCGCCGCGGUAAUACGUAGGGGGCUAGCGUUGCUCGGAUUUACUGGGCGUAAAGAGCGCGUAGGCGGCCAAGUAAGUCUGAUGUGAAAGCCCUCGGCUCAACCGAGGAUCCGCAUUGGAAACUACCUGGCUUGAGUCCAGGAGGGGAGGGUGGAAUUCCCGGUGUAGCGGUGAAAUGCGUAGAGAUCGGGAGGAACACCUGUGGCGAAGGCGGCCCUCUGGAAUGGUACUGACGCUGAGGCGCGAAAGCUGGGGGAGCGAACGGGAUUAGAUA
rnacentral:rRNA from 1 species